GAUGAACGCUAGCGGCAGGCCUAAUACAUGCAAGUCGAGGGGUAGAAGAGGCUUGCUUCUUUGAGACCGGCGCACGGGUGCGUAACGCGUAUGCAACCUACCUUCAUCUGGGGGAUAGCCCGGAGAAAUCCGGAUUAAUACCGCAUAAAAUCACAGGAUGGCAUUAUCUAAUGAUCAAACAUUUAUGGGAUGGAGAUGGGCAUGCGUGUCAUUAGCUAGUUGGCGGGGUAACGGCCCACCAAGGCGCCGAGGACUAGGGGAUCUGAGAGGAUGGCCCCCCACACUGGUACUGAGACACGGACCAGACUCCUACGGGAGGCAGCAGUAAGGAAUAUUGGUCAAUGGAGGCAACUCUGAACCAGCCAUGCCGCGUGCAGGAAGACUGCCCUAUGGGUUGUAAACUGCUUUUAUUCGGGAAUAAACCUUAUUACGUGUAAUAAGCUGAAUGUACCGAAGGAAUAAGGAUCGGCUAACUCCGUGCCAGCCGCCGCAGUAAUAC
rnacentral:rRNA from 1 species